rnacentral:rRNA from 1 species
UACGAAGGGUGCAAGCGUUACUCGGAAUUACUGGGCGUAAAGCGUGCGUAGGUGGUGAGUUAAGUCUGUCGUGAAAGCCCCGGGCUCAACCUGGGAAUGGCGAUGGAUACUGGCUCGCUAGAGUGCGGUAGAGGAGAGUGGAAUUCCUGGUGUAGCGGUGAAAUGCGCAGAUAUCAGGAGGAACACCGGUGGCGAAGGCGGGUCUCUGGGCCGUAACUGACGCUGAGGAGCGAAAGCAUGGGGAGCGAACAGG